AGCAGUAAUUUAUUAAUAAUAGCACUUGUAUAUAAAUGAAUACAAUUAAAAUAUAUGAGCUAUAUGAAUUUGUGCAAAUACAAAAUUUAGCAGCAAUUUAAGUAUAAUAGAGGUAUGGUUAGGUUGAAUAAAGCAUAAGGAAAACCCACUGGGGGUACGGGGAGGGAUUCUCCCUUCUGCACGUAGCAAAUCAGUCAAUCUAAAAAUCUCUCUUAUACACUGUUUACGAAUACAUAUUAAUACAGAAUCUUCUAGAAAACCUCUCCUAGUUUCUAUUCCUAAAAUCUACGUCUCUAUGUUGUGUUGCGCAUGCGUCACCAGUGGUCGGGGGUCUCUCCUCCUUUCGGGGCUCUUGUUUCCCAUGAAGGCUCUGGGUCUUCCUCAGCGUUCACUCUUUGACCUCGCAGGUAGCGCAGGUGCACUGAGCUUAAAGAUAUAUAAUUAAAUAUAUGUUCCUACAACAGGCCUCAGUCCAGUUUCCAGUGCAUGGAAUCAUCCCAACUUGGCCCAGUUCAAGGAAUCACAUAUAUAACAGAGGGGAGGGAAGCUUCAGGCAGGAUGGAGCCACAGGGGCCCAGAGGAGCCCUGGCAGAGGGCUGUGCCCAGUGCUACAGAAGGACAAGAAGCAACCCCCAGGCCUCCCUGGAAUUCUGGAAAGCUUCCUGCCCACAGCUACAAGGCAGGACAGGCUAUCUUCACGGGGCAUGAGCUGCAGGCAGCAAGUGAGCCAAAGGGGACUGAAGGAGCCCUGAGCAGUGGUCAUGAUCAGUGCUGCAGAGGAAGGCAGAACUCCCUUGGAACCUGUGCCUAUCUGCCCUGGGGGAAAAUUCACUCUUGAUCCCGGGGGGGGGGGGGGGGGGGGGGGGGGGGGGGGGGGGGGGGGGGGGGGGGGGGGGGGGGGGGGGGGGGGGGGGGGGGGGGGGGGGGUGCUCACAGCCUCAGUGUGGGACUGGCCUCCCCUGGGACCCCCAGCCCCACCAUCUCCUGCCAAGGGCCCAGGGGAGGUGUCCCAGCUCAGCCUGGGACCCUCAGUCCCUGCCUAAGCCCUGCUGUGGAUGUGCCCAUCUGUGCCCCUGUGUCCUGGGUGGGCUGGGACCUGCACUGCAGGGAGCUGCUCUCUGGGCUGGAGCCCUGAGACCUGGGCCAAACCUUGUAUUGCAGAGCUCUGGGUUAAACAUAUAACUCUGCUCUAACUGCUCUGUCCUAUUCUAUUCCCUGCACUCACCUUGAGACAAUGGUGAGACUGUU
rnacentral:lncRNA from 1 species